GUACGCUGGCGGCACGCCUAACACAUGCAAGUCGAACGAAGUAGCAAUACUUAGUGGCAGACGGGUGAGUAACAUGUGGGUAUCUACCCUUUGGUCUGGAAUAACACGAGGAAACUUGUGCUAAUACCGGAUAAGUCUUUACGGAGAAAGCUUUAUGCACCAUUGGAUGAGCCCGCACUUGAUUAGUUUGUUGGUGGGGUAAUGGCCUACCAAGACUAUGAUCAAUAGCUGAUUUGAGAGGAUGAUCAGCCACAUUGGGACUGAGACACGGCCCAAACUCCUACGGGAGGCAGCAGUGGGGAAUCUUGCACAAUGGAGGAAACUCUGAUGCAGCGAUGCCGCGUGAGUGAAGAAGGCCCUUGGGUUGUAAAGCUCUUUCGUCGGGGAAGAAAAUGACUGUACCCGAAUAAGAAGGUCCGGCUAA
rnacentral:rRNA from 1 species